GCGAGAGCGACCCGUGCCCCCCCGAGCCCCCUUGCCGCUGCCACCCCUCCCCUCUGCCCCAUGCCAGAUCCGCCUGCUGCCACCGCCACCGCUCUCCUCUGCCCCGUGCUGGAUCACCUCUCCUCCUCCUGCCGCGCCGCCACCGCUCCUCCAUCCUCCGCCAAUCCCAAUCCCCUCCUCUUGGCCGCGCACCCGCGACGGAGACCGAGGAUCCCGAGCCCCAGCCCCAGGCCCUAGCCGCCGGGGAGCUGGUCUGGGCCAAGACCAAGGGCCGCCACCCGCGCGCCUCCGCCCCCUCCCCAGAAUCCUCCCUCGUCUCCUCACCCCGCCGCCACCGUCAAGCCCUUCCUCGCCAUCCCCGACACCGACGCCCUCGCAAGGGCCAACACCGGCCUCGCCUUCGUUCCCCUCCUUGCCGCCCCCGCCGCCUCCUCCUCUUCCUCCCACCUCAGCCGCCUCCCCCCUCCCCCCUUACCCUCUCCCCCACCCCCCUCCCGCAUCUCGUCUGCCCCGGGUGCGGAUGCGACCUUCCCGGCGAUAGCGGUGGCACUGGAUUCGAUCUGCAGGAGAGAGAGAGAGAGAGAGAGAGAGAGAGAGGAAGGUGUGGCUUCUAACUGGAGAGGGUCUCCACCGGCGCCGGCCUGCACCGGCGCGAUCGGGCGCGACCUGGCUUCUAGGGCGGCUUGACUACAGUCUAUAGGUGACCACGUCCCUUUUCUCCCCUUCUCCCGUAUGUAGCUCUCUAUGUUGUUUCUCCUCUUUUCUCACAGAAGAAACACACAAAGCAGUUAACAAUGGGAGGAUUUGGGGGCUGCUCAGUUUUGGAUAUGGGGGCUGCACAGGCUUGGAGCAGCAAGCCAUGGCAACGAAGAGCUAGAUCGACAUAUGAAGACGCGGGAGCUAAAGCAAAUAGACUGCGAGGUUAUCAGGAUACCGGAGAAAUGGGUUAUGCUUUAGUCCUUGUAAAUGGCACUGGUUUUUCUUGUGCAAGUAAAGCCUGACAGUGGUGUACUCCAGGCAAUGUGAAGCUGGGACUUUCCUAUCAGGCAUGACCUUGUAGCCAAAUCCAUGAGGAGUCGGAGGCAGUUCCAGCAACUAACCAUGAAGCGACGGCGGAGAUCCAGUUCAUCUGUACCUCUAAGGCUGCCUUCUGACCGAACCGCGUCGUGGCAGCAAAAUCCGCUUUGAUUCAAUGCUCUGAUCAUCUAUGCUUUCCUGCUGUAGAUUUUUGGAGCUUGCUCUGUUAAUCCAUGUUAUUUUGUGUAUGACAGUUUAGGUCUGACCAGCACAAGGUGGCAACAACAGUAGUGGAGAAGGCAUGAAGAGGCCCACAUCUGAAAAUCCGUUCUGCUGACAGAUCAAGGGAGAUGGUCUUAGCAUCCACUAUGACAAUGUUGUCCAGAACAUGGACGACUCUGGAAACUGAAAAGUAACAGAUUUUGCUUCCAGGCGCACAAAGGCCACCGAUCGGAUCAGCGCGAAGAAACCCGUUCGGACCGCUGCCGCAUGCCUCGCCUUAGCAACAGAUCAACCUCUGCACCUACAUCCACUUCGACAGGUCGUCAGUCAAAGCAGGACCAUUUUACCCUCCUUCAUGCGGAUGAAUCUGAUCAAGUUUAUUUCAAAUUCCAAUCUAGAGUAGUUACACUUUUUCGCCUCUGCCUGCCUGCUUCUAGCAGGGUUGCAUUUCUCCAAUUUUCACAGCUUCAAAUCACUACCUACGAAUUGCGUAUACGAUUCAUCAUCGUUCAAUUACCCCGUACCCUAUGUGAAUUAUAUUCUGAAGUACAGGUUGACAACAACCUACUAGCUGUACAUACUUUUCUAGCUGGUACACAGUAAAAAGAAAGGGCUUGAGUAAAUGCACAUUGUUCAUUUCAUAUCUAUCAGAAGUUCCUGCAUUUAUUUUCCAGUAGCCAUAAUCAAUGUCAGUCACACACUUUGAAGGUUUUACACUUUUAUUUGGUAUCCUACUGCGCUGCAUGAUAACAUCCACAUUUACACGUAUUUUAGGCCCAGUAAAGCAAUCCCCCCUGGUUUCUUCAGCUUGCAAGAAAUGUUAUGGAUUCUGGGUUGACAUUCUAUUUAUUAAAAAGGUGCCUACAUGGAAAAAAAUCAUUGAAAAGCCAAGUGAGACACAAUAACUGUCCACCCAAAUCAUUGUGUUGGCUCAACGCCCUCUGGGACACAGAGGCUGGCGGGCUCUCGCUCUGCACCCGCCAAUCCAACGAGGGUGCUAUCCUGUGAAUUUGCCCGAAUUCUAAAACUAUUGCAUGUGCACUAUAUGUAUGAUGGAAGGUUUCACUUAAGAAGUGUCCAAACUGAGGUACUAGAUAACUGGCAUACUUAAUGGAAGAGACAUUCGCCCUAACCUGCAACUGCACCAGUUAUAUAGAUGCACAUAUAACUGAUUUGUUGCUAUCUGAGACCAUUAUUUUAAUUGUGAAUCUUAUUUUUCUUUACCUCUAGGCCAUGAACCAUCUUACCCUUAAAUCAGAAUUCAUGUUUUUUUCGCUCCUAUUUUGUUCCUUACCAGUGAUAGUGCAGCUUCCUAAAUGCAAAAAGCUCCCGGGAAGGUAAAACUAUGAUGUUUCAUUAAAUUGAAAUCUGUCAUUUAUAUUUGACUGCUUCAUUCUUCUCUAAAACCACAGGUAUAUCCGUACAGUGAACUGGAUUAUACAUUAAUCGGUUGAUUCAGAGCUCUUGUAUCUUGAGUGGCAUUCACCUUUGGGAAAUUCAAGCGACUACAGGUCAUGAUCUUCUUAUCGACGUCUCACUGUUGAAAAGAGUUCUUAUGUGGGUUCUAUUUUAAUGUCUUUAUGCUUGUGAAGUACACGGUGGGGGCGCGCAUGGUUGAUGAUUAUGUUCUGGGUUGGCCAUUGAGAGGGAGGCCGAAGCAAACUCCAUCAGGUUUCAGAUAGCUACUUCAGGUUAGGCGGGAGAAAUAAAAAGGGUGACCAUAGAUAUAUGGUCUAGCAUCACGAGGUUCAGGUAACUGCUGUUGACCAACCGUUGCUUCGGUCAAGGUUGGUUAUGCUUGAUUAUGUUCUUUGUAUUUUUUUUCAUGGCCUACACUCGUGUUAUCAUCUAUUCUGUUUCAAAAAUUUCAAUGGCUUAGUUUCAUGUCCCAGUACCACUUGAAGUACAACUAAGUACCUUUUGACAUGACAAUGAUGUAUGUAUUUACCUAUGGUUAUUGUUUCCUAUAAGAAACAUGAUCAUCUCACCUUGGUUUCCCCUGUAUCUGACUUGGGACAGUUUUAUGUGAGAUUUGUUUUGCAUUUUCUGUGUGUGUGGAUGCUUAAGCUUAAUCUUUUGUUAUUUGGUUCAGUUAGAGAUUGAAGAAGACUAAAAUUAUGGGCUCGCAGCGAGGAUUGUUGUGUCCAACCUGCACAAUAAUGCCAAGAAGUCCUUCUUCGAGACGAUUAAGGACAUGUACCUGCACUACAAUGAGUGAUCUGGACUGCUUCUUUGUGGCUUCCAAACUUGAAAUGUUUUUUGGAAGUUAGUUUAGUUUUUUGAGCUUCUCACAUGUACCAUUCUCUUAGACCUUUAGAUUUUCAAAGAAACUAAAUGAAGAUAUGGUGGUAUGGUCUCAAUAGUACAACUUAAAGCUUUCCAUGCUUUACAUUUUCUCUGAAAUUUGCUCUUGAAGAAUCAUGUGUCCCAUGUUAGAUUUGGU